GCUUCAGCUCCUGCCACCAAGUUUCUGCCCUGCAUGUGUUCUACUCUUUCUCACCCACUGUCCUUGCCUUGCGGAACUGUCUCAGACUUGACCUGAAAGAUCCUUCUGAGUCAGGCAGUGAGAGCCUGGUCCUCACUGCUCCGUGCAGAAGCAAAUAGAAAGCUUCUGGGGACCACAGUCCCUGUGUCCCCAUCAACUGCAGCACACACCCAGCGGGGUGAUCACCGUCGGUUCUCUUGUCUGCCCUGCAGUCACCCUGGGAGUCUUAAGAAAGGGCUCUGCCUCAUUCACCAACCCUUACCCAGUGCCCAGCUCUGGCCUGCACACAGGGCUGCUCUGUAAACCCCUCUGGUGAGGAACUCAGCCGGUCAAUUCCCACCCGAGGCGGAGUAAAGAAGCUGCAAAUAAACGCUGUGUUAGGAAAGAGCACAGCAACUCCGCCUUGAUAUCAAGCUAACAUGCAAAACUGGGCCCAAGUCUGAGCUCUAAGAAAGACUUUGGUUUCGAACUUCAAAGACCAGCCAGAACUCUGGUGAGCGAGAUACACGGUUUCUUUGAAAGUCGCUCUCAUGAACAAAUGAAGGAGAGAAGCUAAGUCGUGGCUGAAGAUCUGAGAAGUGCCAGCUUCCACCUGGGUACCUCACACACUGCCUCUCCACGAGCUUUGAAGAACGUGGGAUACACCGGCCUUAUGGGAAUUGAAAGAGCAUAGGGUAAGGACCACAGAGAAGAAGGCAGGCUGGAAGUCGGGGCACCUGUCUGCAGGGCUUCCUUCUCACUGAGCCUCACAGCUUAUCCUAGGCAAGGAGAGGCAGGAGUGGGCUUUGAAUAAAUCAUUUCCCCAUGUGCAACUUCCAGGACAGAUACUGCCUGAGAGCCUGCACAAUAGGAACCACUCUGGUUGCUCACUCUGGUUGCUCUGUGCAGGCAGGGCAUUGGGAACUAGUGGGCCCAGACCCUGCAUUUCACAAUGACUAGUACACUGAAUUCUCGUACUUCCUAAGUGGAUUAGGCGACGGCUAAGAGUCAG
rnacentral:lncRNA from 1 species